rnacentral:tRNA from 1 species
GCCUGGGUGGCUCAGUCGGUUAAGCGUCUGCCUUCAGCUCAGGUCGUGAUCUCAGGGUCGUGGGAUCAAGUCCUGCAUCAGGCU